UACGUAGGGGGCUAGCGUUGUCCGGAUUUAUUGGGCGUAAAGAGCGUGUAGGCGGCCAUGUAGGUCCGGUGUGAAAACUCGAGGCUUAACCUCGAGAUGUCAUCGGAAACCAUUUGGCUAGAGUCCGGAAGAGGAGAGUGGAAUUCCUGGUGUAGCGGUGAAAUGCGCAGAUAUCAGGAAGAACACCCGUGGCGAAGGCGGCUCUCUGGGACGUGACUGACGCUGAGGCGCGAAAGCGUGGGGAGCAAACAGG
rnacentral:rRNA from 1 species